rnacentral:rRNA from 1 species
GACGAACGCUGGCGGCGUGCUUAACACAUGCAAGUCGAACGGAAAGGCCCUGCUUUUGUGGGGUGCUCGAGUGGCGAACGGGUGAGUAACACGUGAGUAACCUGCCCUUGACUUUGGGAUAACUUCAGGAAACUGGGGCUAAUACCGGAUAGGAGCUCCUGCUGCAUGGUGGGGGUUGGAAAGUUUCGGCGGUUGGGGAUGGACUCGCGGCUUAUCAGCUUGCUGGUGGGGUAGUGGCUUACCAAGGCUUUGACGGGUAGCCGGCCUGAGAGGGUGACCGGCCACAUUGGUACUGAGAUACGGCCCAGACUCCUACGGGAGGCAGCAGUGGGGAAUAUUGCACAAUGGGCGGAAGCCUGAUGCAGCAACGCCGCGUGCGGGAUGACGGCCUUCGGGUUGUAAACCGCUUUCGCCUGUGACGAAGCGUGAGUGACGGUAAUGGGUAAAGAAGCACCGGCUAACUACGUG